AACGAACGCUGGCGGCAUGCCUAACACAUGCAAGUCGAACGGGACCUUCGGGUCUUGUGGCGCAUGGGUGCGUAACGAGGGGGAAGCUGCCCUUAGGAUCGGAAUAACUCCCCGAAAGGAGUGCUAAGAAAGGAUAAUGUCUUCGGACCAAGGAUUUAUCGCGUUUGGAUGGGCCCGCGUUGGAUUAGCCAGUUGGGAGGGUAAAAGCCUACCAAGGCGACGAUCGAUAGCUGGUCUGAGAGGGGGGGCCGCCACACUGGGACUGAGACGCGGCCCAGACUCCUACGGGAGGCAGCAGAGGCGAAUAUUGCACCAUGGCCGAAGGGCUGAUCCAGCACUGCCGGGUGAGUGCUGAUGGCCUUAGGGUUGUAAAGCUCUUUUACCCGGGAGGGUAAUGACGGUACCGGGAGAAUAAGCUCCGGCUAACUCCGUG
rnacentral:rRNA from 1 species